rnacentral:tRNA from 1 species
GCGCCGGUGGUAGAGCGGCCAAUUACACGAGACUGUAAAUCUCGCGCCUUAACGGCUACGCAGGUUCGAAUCCUGCCCGGCGCA